rnacentral:rRNA from 1 species
AGUGAACGCUGGCGGUAGGCCUAACACAUGCAAGUCGAACGGCAGCACAGUAAGAGCUUGCUCUUACGGGUGGCGAGUGGCGGACGGGUGAGGAAUACAUCGGAAUCUACUUUUUCGUGGGGGAUAACGUAGGGAAACUUACGCUAAUACCGCAUACGACCUACGGGUGAAAGCAGUGGAGCUUCGGACCUUGCGCGAUUGAAUGAGCCGGUGCCGGAUUAGCUAGUUGGUGAGGUAAAGGCCCACCAAGGCGACGAUGCGUAGCUGGUCUGAGAGGAUGAUCAGCCACACUGGAACUGAGACACGGUCCAGACUCCUACGGGAGGCAGCAGUAGGGAAUAUUGGACAAUGGGCGAAAGCCUGAUCCAGCCACGCCGCGUGGGUGAAGAAGGCCUUCGGGUUGUAAAGCCCUUUUGUUGGGAAAGAAAAACAGCAGGUUAAUACCCCGCUGUUCUGACGGUACCCAAAGAAUAAGCCCCGGCUAACUUCGUG